UUGACAGAGACAUGGAUUACAUGCAAUACAGACCAACUCAAUGGAUAAAAACUCGAGGCCUACAUUUAUACCAUGAAUUAGACUCUGCAUGUAUGCAUGCAUGUGGGUGUCCAUACACUAUCUAACAAGAAUAGACCAUAAGUCGAGGAAAUAAAUCCUUUAAAAAGGCAAUUACAGGGCAAAAGAGAAGAAUGCCAAAAGCUAGAGGAUAUAGAAGAUUUCAAUGAUAUAAGGG
rnacentral:misc_RNA from 1 species